rnacentral:rRNA from 1 species
GACGAAGGAUGCAAGCGUUAUCCGGAUUCAUUGGGUUUAAAGGGUGCGUAGGCGGACCUGUAAGUCAGUGGUGAAAUCUCUCAGCUUAACUGAGAAACUGCCAUUGAUACUGCAGGUCUAGAGUAUAGAUGACGUUGGCGGAAUAUGACAUGUAGUGGUGAAAUACUUAGAUAUGUCAUAGAACACCGAUUGCGAAGGCAGCUAACGAAACUAUAACUGACGCUGAGGCACGAAAGUGCGGGGAUCAAAC